GUAGGUGGCAAGCGUUGUCCGGAAUUAUUGGGCGUAAAGCGCGCGCAGGCGGUUCUUUAAGUCUGAUGUGAAAGCCCACGGGCUCAACCGUGGAGGGUCAUUGGAAACUGGAGAACUUGAGUACAGAAGAGGAAAGCGGAAUUCCACGUGUAGCGGUGAAAUGCGUAGAGAUGUGGAGGAACACCAGUGGCGAAGGCGGCCUUCUGGUCUGUAACUGACGCUGAGGCGCGAAAGCGUGGGGAGCAAACAGGAUUAGAUACCCUGGUAGUCCACGCCGUAAACGAUGAGUGCUAAGUGUUAGGGGGUUUCCGCCCCUUAGUGCUGCAGCUAACGCAUUAAGCACUCCGCCCGGGGAGUACGGCCGCAAAGGCUG
rnacentral:rRNA from 1 species